rnacentral:rRNA from 1 species
UACGGGGGGUGCGAGCGUUGUCCGGAAUCACUGGGCGUAAAGGGCGCGUAGGUGGCCUGAUAAGGGUGUGGUGAAAGUCCGGGGCUCAACCCUCGAAAGCCGGUGGAUACUGUCGGGCUAGAGUACGGAAGAGGCGAGUGGAAUUCCUGGUGUAGCGGUGAAAUGCGCAGAUAUCAGGAGGAACACCGGUGGCGAAGGCGGGUCUCUGGGCCGAUACUGACGCUGAGGAGCGAAAGCGUGGGGAGCGAACAGG